CGUUAAAAAUUUCAUCCAUUUGUACUAUUAAAAGUUGACAUGAUUGAUGGAAUAACCACAGGCACACUACAUGUACCUCACGAUGAUGUAUAAUAACUAUUUUUUAAAUAAUAGGAAUGGAUGGAACUUUUAACA
rfam:Gossypium hirsutum cultivar TM-1 chromosome 16, whole genome shotgun sequence